rnacentral:tRNA from 1 species
GGUGACUCAGUGGUAGAGUGCUUGCUUUGCAUUCAUGAGGCCCUAGGUUCGAUUCCUCAGCACCA